CUGUGAGUUUUAGCAGACAGGCUUGCAAUGCCUGGUUCUUCUGACUCUAAAACAACUGUGAAAAGUAUAAAAAAAAUACAAAUAACAAUAUACUGGCAAGAUGCAACCAUAUAUUCCUAGAAAAUAAAUAUUAAUUAAAUUGCUAGAGAUAAAACCUUGUCCUACUACAGGAGGUGCUUGUUUAUCAGAUGUUCAGUUUUGCAAAGCCCGCGUGGAUGACUCCUCCUCACACACUCAAUUCCACCGCUUGAACAAACAGUUAAUGAUGUUCUUCUCAGUAUUCAUGGAAAUCUAAAAUUUAAAAAAUAACACAUGGAGCACAAACAAGGCUUCUUUGAUUUAAAAAAAUAAAAAAAUUUAAAAAUACUUUUUUAUAACAUUUUAACAUUUGCUAUUUGCCUUUUAGCCACUUAUUUUUGCAUUUUUUAUUGAACAUGGCUCAGAGUAAAGAGGGUAUAAUAGAUACCCAAGAGAAUACAUUUUUGUUCUGUUGGGAAAACAGCUGAUUAUGCUCUCUAACAAAGCUGAUCCCUCUGAAAGGUUAUCUACUGACUUGGAACAGUUUAUUAAAGUAACUAAAUAUUUCAAACUACAUGUCUGACUGCAGGAGUACAGAUUUGUUUUCUCUCAAAUUCCUAACAGAAAUUUUGGUGAGAAUAGCAUGGUCGAUGAAUUUAGAGGAUGCAGCAGCAGAAGGAAAAACCCUUUAUCUUUCAGCCUUACAGGGGUCCUAUUUCUUAUUCCCUUAACACCUCCACAGAGAUAACUUGUCUUUCCUGAUUGUAGGUCUAUGGUGGUGGGUCAGGCACAGGUUUGAAGCUGGAGAAAAGUGCAAAAUACAUUGUUUUAGCAAGGAUGGACCUCUCUUAUCUCUUCCCUCCCCUAAACAAAUGUAGAAUUUCAUGUUCUUGAAUACUGUGCCAUUAUUUUCCAGGUCAUUCAUCACAGGACACUUACAGCUCUUCUACAAAUGCUACACUAAUUCAAAGUAUUUACUAGAUAUCCCUCAAAAACCUUAAUAAAAUCCUGUUCUAGUCAUUUGGGUUUUCAUGACAAAUCCAUGCCCAAAAUAUAAACAACUCUCAGUUUUAAAAUAAAUACAAGUAUUGCAUAUUGUGCUUAUUUAUUGAGAUUAGUGCGUGUUCAUAGUAGAUUUUGAAUGGAUGUGAGUCACUGCAACUGUGGCAUGGUACGACAGUAACUCCACUUGGGCAUCCACCUCUAACAUCUUCCCAGAAAUUUCUCCAGGGCUUGCACUUGGCUUUCCUCAAAACCCCUUCCUCACUGACGGGCACUAAUCUUUGUUUCCUCCAAGAGGGGUGGUAAGAAAAGCAGUGUGUAAAUGCUGAUGAAGAAAGGGGACAUCGUGAAGUGUACCACAGCUAUGACAUGUCAUUUACACCACAGCAUCUACUGCCUCUGGCCCUCGUGAGCUGCUAAAAUAGCUCCUUGGGGAAAGUGUUGUUGUGAGUGUAUGAAGGCCUUGCUCAAAUCCUGGAUGUUCAUAUCGAAAUUGUUAAGUUUGAUAACUUUAGCCUAGCUACAGAAUCUUCACUGACUCAGAGCUCAUACAAAUUUCAGCACACAGCAUUUUGCACUGUCCUGCCUGUGCUGUUGCGCUUCCACUCAGGACAAUUACUGUAAAUCAAAGUGCUUCAUUUGCAUUGUCCGCUCUAGCUUGGAGUUUCCUUUUGCUUCCAGUAGUUUGCAGCCAAGCGUCCUUAUUCUACCAUUUCCUAACACAUCAGCCUUCGAUGUCUUUCCUGUCUCCAGGAGCAGAACAAAAUACUGAAUGAGAAAGUACUUCAAAAUGAGAACUCACUGCUUUAAAAUUUCCUGGCAAUGUAUCUUGAAAAAUCUGUGUAGGGAAAAAAAUGCUAACAGUUAUAAGGCAGAUCAAAUACCUGAUAUAUGGACCUGAACCAUAUAGCUGUUUCCCUUUUAACUUAAUGCACAGAUACCUCAAACCAAGGAUAUGAGUGGGCUGAAACAACUAAUCACAUUUUGGCACAGACAAGUACAAAAGGAAACCCAGAACUACUAAUUCAACAGCUUGAAAUAUCAGCUGCUGCAUGCAAGAUCUUUACAGAGCUCCUCUGAAGAGAACAUACCCUUUUAAAAUUGUGAUUUUUCAUCUUAAAAAUGUCAGAAGAUAUCUCAGGAAAAUUAUAAAAGAAUCCAGCAUCAUUGAUAUAAAGCGUGAAUCCACUGAAGUCUCAUAGACAUAAGGUUCCCUUACCUCCACUCCUAAUUUCAUCACAUACAUUCCUCUCAGCUAUCAGGGUCCUAUCACACAUUUUGCAUAUUUUCCAUGCAUAUAUUCAGAAAUGUUAUUCAGCAAUAAAAAACAGGUCUAAACUGGGAGAAGUGAUGUAAAAGAGAGAAGUUCAAGGAACUAUAUAAUAACAAAAAGCUACAAAGCUGUGUCACCCCAUGGCUUCAGGGCUGCAAGCAUCUCAACACAUCUUUACUCCAAAAACAUUUGCCAAAGACCUUCACUGUAGAACUCCCUCUGUGGGUCCUUGGGGACGAUAAAACUGAAGGCACAAAGAAGCCUAUUCAUUUGUCCUUCACAGAGAAAGUAGGUGGAUAACUGUGAUUUUGUGUCAGGACUCUUACCUGUAGCUCCUCUGCAAUGAAAGGGGUACAGCUGUGCUGUUCAGCAGGCGUUUCUAUGUCACUGUACCCUUUUCCACCAAUGUGACAUGAAUGACCCAAGUGUACCUUCAUUCCACUCUUCCUCUGGGAUCAGCAGCUGAUUUUAGUGACUCAGAAACAGAUUCUUCAAAACAGGGUAUUAUCUAAACAUUAGCUGUUCACCAAAUGUUACACAGUAACCAGAUAAAAAUGAGAAAAAGACUCUGUCGCUCCUUGCCUAUAAUGUAUCUUUCCCUACAGAAUUUAGGUAAAUUACACUUGAGAGCAGCUACCUCGUUCCUUCAUGUGUAGGAGGGGAAGACAGCUUCUCCUCUGGCUUGUUCUCUUUGUAACUGCAGGCUUUGAUCCUAUGCUUGGAGUAGAUGAAGAGAAGCCUAACAGAGUGGGCAGAAAAAAACAUACAGGCAUGCCCUCCGUUAUUUCCUCUACCACUGACCUCUUCCAGGCUACUGGUAUAUUUGUAUUAACCUUAUCUGACAUAAUUUUUCUUUCUUUCAAAAAAAAAUUCUUCCUGUUCUCACCUACAGAACAGCAAAAAGUACAUAAAUUAUACAUAAAAGUGCAUAAAAUGGCAUAAUUUGCUUUACUUUUUAUAUAAAUAAUAAACCUAGAAGCCCAAAAUCUGACCUCUUAAAUAAAAUGUCAGCAUAUGAUUCCUUGACACAUAUGGAGUUCACCAGUGCUGAAAGGGGAAGAUCCAAGCCUUGUCCUUCCUUCCCUCCUGCUGGCUGCAUAUCUUCCUUCUACCUUGUGCUGGCUCUGCCAUUCACUGAGAGCAAAUAUGAGUCACAGAGGUAGUAAAAAUACAAUCCAUCAAAAAGUGAAUAGUGUUCUGCCCUAUUAAGAAAACCAGAAAAGGAUCUGACAAGCAUCUCAAUCAGCACAUCCAGUAAAUUGGACCCUGCAAUUAGAAGAGGAAGAAAUAGAGGGGAAAGCAGGAAGGGUGAGAUGUUCUUUUGGAGGGAAAAAGCUCAGUGGCUGUCUGAGUCCAUAAGUAAAACACUGAAGACAGAAAGGGGGAAUAUCAAGUUUGAAGGCUGCUGAUAAUAGCAGCAUCUCAAACCCCUUUCAGUCCAUGGGAUGGCUUUGGAACUGUCCUGGCAAAUAUCUCUUACUGCUCAUGUACAGCUACUGUCCUAUAGAUCUUUAGCUCUUCCUGUUCAGCUUCAACAAAGCUGCAUUUGAGGAAAAGUGACUGAACAUACAUUAAAAAUUAGUUGCUAGGAAAAACGAAGCAUUUCUUUACUGCAGUAAUAUUCUUCAAUGUCAAGGAGCUGCUGGCAGUGCUCGGCCUCUGGGACUAUGCCUAAAGAGCUACAGCAGAAAAAAGCUCUUUCUUUUAUGUGUAAGUGCCAGGAUACUGUUCCCCAUCCCACCCAGGCACAGAAAUGGCCCUAGAGAUCCAUAUAUUUUAACCUUCAGACUUUAUUACCAUUAAUUAUAUCUGGAAGUGAAGCCAGGAUCCCCCAGAACACGGUAGCAGGAACAAAACACAAUCAUCCAUCUGCCUAGCAACAUGGGUUGCCAUGAGUACUUCUCCCCGUGCUCCACAGGCAGCAGGGGCUCGCCACUGAAAGCCAAGCCAAGCUCAAGAGCCCCUUGGAAAAGGGCAAAGAGAGCCUGCUUCCUCAGAUGAACACAUUCCAUCUCCAAGACCUUCCUCUGGAACCUAGAAUGUGCCAGCCAGCAGCCUGAAAUUUGGAAAUGAGGGACUUCUGGAGUACUGAGACAAUGCCAGUGGAAUUGCUCUUGCAAGAAGCAAAAGCAAUGACGUUGGGAACAUCAAUACUGUUAAAACUCCAUUCUUCACUUCUCUGUUCUUCUGAGAAAGUUCUUUCCAUGUUUUAAUACCAUGCCAAAAAAAAUCCCAAUAACAUACUGUCAAAUCAUUGACUUUUCACACUUACAAAGAAAAGAAGAAAAACCUGUGAAUGGUACUGAAGACAUGGAAUUACUUUAUGACAUCCCUAGCUCAGGAGGUCUUUGAAUCACAAACCAUUUGUAGGAGGUUGAGAGACAGAGUAUUUAAGGUAGUCAUUUAUGUGGUUCUCUACUAAGCACCUGCUUUAGGCCUCAUUAGAAGAAAGGAUACUCAAAGAGACAGGUUUUGACAUGUCCCAGAAGGUUCAUUUUGCUGAACUUAGAAAACGCAAAAGAUUACUUGGUUGUGAGCUGGACUGUGUGGCAGAAAGGAGAGUGUAAGAACAGCUGACAGGGGCUGAGGAAACACAGACCUGCCACCGAGGAGCAGCCUGACACUUUCGGUGCAAUCCUCCAGGAAGAGUCCUGUGUUCCAUCACUGGCCUUGCCUUUUCCCAACUCAGAUGGCUGCUGAACUAUCUUCCAGUCAUGCUCCAUUCACAUAAAGGUGCACCAAGGAAGCAAAA